rnacentral:other from 1 species
CAACCUCUGCUGUGAGCGACAGCGUACGCUUACAUUUGCCUUGACCCUAAUGAACGACCCCGGGGACGUAACUUCAGGCAGGUGUGCAGGCCCGCCAUGAGCGGUAAGCCCGAAGCCUGACAAGCGUUCCCACCUGAUCCUCGGGAUCAAGGUCGUUUCGUACGCAUCGCCACGGUGGAGGCUGC